GCGGACGGGUGAGUAACACGUGGAUAACCUACCUAUAAGACUGGGAUAACUUCGGGAAACCGGAGCUAAUACCGGAUAAUAUUUUGAACCGCAUGGUUCAAAAGUGAAAGACGGUCUUGCUGUCACUUAUAGAUGGAUCCGCGCUGCAUUAGCUAGUUGGUAAGGUAACGGCUUACCAAGGCAACGAUGCAUAGCCGACCUGAGAGGGUGAUCGGCCACACUGGAACUGAGACACGGUCCAGACUCCUACGGGAGGCAGCAGUAGGGAAUCUUCCGCAAUGGGCGAAAGCCUGACGGAGCAACGCCGCGUGAGUGAUGAAGGUCUUCGGAUCGUAAAACUCUGUUAUUAGGGAAGAACAUAUGUGUAAGUAACUGUGCACAUCUUGACGGUACCUAAUCAGAAAGCCACGGCUAACUACGUGCCAGCAGCCGCGGUAAUACGUAGGUGGCAAGCGUUAUCCGGAAUUAUUGGGCGUAAAGCGCGCGUAGGCGGUUUUUUAAGUCUGAUGUGAAAGCCCACGGCUCAACCGUGGAGGGUCAUUGGAAACUGGAAAACUUGAGUGCAGAAGAGGAAAGUGGAAUUCCAUGUGUAGCGGUGAAAUGCGCAGAGAUAUGGAGGAACACCAGUGGCGAAGGCGACUUUCUGGUCUGUAACUGACGCUGAUGUGCGAAAGCGUGGGGAUCAAACAGGAUUAGAUACCCUGGUAGUCCACGCCGUAAACGAUGAGUGCUAAGUGUUAGGGGGUUUCCGCCCCUUAGUGCUGCAGCUAACGCAUUAAGCACUCCGCCUGGGGAGUACGACCGCAAGGUUGAAACUCAAAGGAAUUGACGGGGACCCGCACAAGCGGUGGAGCAUGUGGUUUAAUUCGAAGCAACGCGAAGAACCUUACCAAAUCUUGACAUCCUUUGACAACUCUAGAGAUAGAGCCUUCCCCUUCGGGG
rnacentral:rRNA from 1 species